AUGAACGCUGGCGGCGUGCCUAAUACAUGCAAGUCGAGCGAACAGACGAGGAGCUUGCUCCUCUGACGUUAGCGGCGGACGGGUGAGUAACACGUGGAUAACCUACCUAUAAGACUGGGAUAACUUCGGGAAACCGGAGCUAAUACCGGAUAAUAUAUUGAACCGCAUGGUUCAAUAGUGAAAGACGGUUUUGCUGUCACUUAUAGAUGGAUCCGCGCCGCAUUAGCUAGUUGGUAAGGUAACGGCUUACCAAGGCAACGAUGCGUAGCCGACCUGAGAGGGGGAUCGGCCACACUGGAACUGAGACACGGUCCAGACUCCUACGGGAGGCAGCAGUAGGGAAUCCUCCGCAAUGGGCGAAAGCCUGACGGAGCAACGCCGCGUGAGUGAUGAAGGUCUUCGGAUCGUAAAACUCUGUUAUUAGGGAAGAACAAAUGUGUAAGUAACUAUGCACGUCUUGACGGUACCUAAUCAGAAAGCCACGGCUAACUACGUG
rnacentral:rRNA from 1 species